UACGGAGGUGCAAGCGUUAUCCGGAUUCACUGGGUUUAAAGGGCGCGUAGGCGGCCACCGCAAGUCGACUGUGAAAUCUCCGGGCUUAACCCGGAAAGGUCAGCCGAUACUGCGGGGCUAGAGUGCAGAAGGGGCAACUGGAAUUCUCGGUGUAGCGGUGAAAUGCGUAGAUAUCGAGAGGAACACCUGCGGCGAAGGCGGGUUGCUGGGCUGACACUGACGCUGAUGCGCGAAAGCUAGGGGAGCGAACGGG
rnacentral:rRNA from 1 species